UGGCGGACGGGUGAGUAACGCGUGGGUAACCUGCCCUGUACAGGGGGACAACAGUUAGAAAUGACUGCUAAUACCGCAUAAGCGCACAGGACCGCAUGGUCCGGUGUGAAAAACUCCGGUGGUACAGGAUGGACCCGCGUCUGAUUAGGUAGUUGGCGGGGUAACGGCCCACCAAGCCGACGAUCAGUAGCCGACCUGUGAGGGUGAUCGGCCACAUUGGGACUGAGACACGGCCCAAACUCCUACGGAAGGCAGCAG
rnacentral:rRNA from 1 species